AUGGGCAGCGGGUCGAUCUCGUCGGACAUGGAGAUGCUGAUGGAGGAGAUCAUCUCCCUGCGGAGAGAGCGGAAAGACCUCAUGGAGUCUCUUACUCCCAAGAUUUCUUGCUGGAGGGAUCAGAUCUCUGGAGCGGCAAUCUCGUCCUUCCAUAAGAUGGACUCACAGCAGCAGCAGCAGCAGGUAUACUUGACAGACGACUUCGAUAUCCUGGAGGACGUCGAGGAUUUGGGCCAGCGGAUGCUAUCUUUGGCACAUUCUCUUUCGACCUCCCAUGCCCCCAUCUCCUUGUACAAGGCGGACGAGCUGGUUAGCACAGCAUCCAAAUUAGAGAGGAUCUCGCUGGAUUUCUGCAAUUCUACCGAGGCGCCAAUGGAGGAGGCAGCCGAGGAGGAGAGGUAUAGGAUGAUGGAGAUUCGGAAGACAGAAGGAGAAGGUACUGCUGAGGAGUUGGAUGAAGAGAUGGAGAUAAAGAAGACGAAGCAGACUCGGGAGAAGAAGAUGAGGAAUGAUGAUGAGCUGAGCAAGCUUUCUCUGUCCAACGAAUUCUUGCAACUCUCCUCCAGUGUCCUGGAUAGACCCUACUGCUACAAGAAUGAGUUGGCCAUGCUGUUUACGGUGGAGGAAGAGGAGGAGUAUGAGAGGGUGAUGGAGGCGGAGAGGGAGAUGGAGAGGCAGAGGGAGAACUGCAGGCGGCGGAGAAGAAAGAAGAGGCCCCCGAAGAAGCCUCUGAUUGUGGAGGUGGAGCACGCUGCUGACGAGCAGGAAACAAAAUCUCAAACGGAGCAACUCAAGGAGUGGAUGGAUGAUGAGCUGGAAUUUUUCGCAGGCCACCGUAGCAUCUGGGAACGCUCUAGUGGCAGCAAGGCCGGGCGGUGCGGCGGCUUCGAAGAUAAAACGACAUUAAGUCCUCUCCAAUUUACGCACUGCACACCCGGUAUCCUUCUGCCCCGUGCCGCUGUCACUGAAAGAACGUUGCAAAUCUACUCAUUCAAACUUGUUGGACUAACGGAGCAGCUGAAGUGGCCACUCUGUGUUUAUGGCGUGGUUGCUGCCCGAGACACCGUAGACCGCAACCGCAACCUUCUCUUCUCUCGGUCGAGGAUCAGGGGUCAAUUACUCUCUGGACAUGACUCUUAUCUGCGCUUGACUGGCCCGUCUCGAGCAAUUCUAGUUGGGGAUUAUGUUGACUUUGAAGUUGAACUAAAAGUACGUGAUGGAGAUAAUGAGCACAAUGAUACACAGUUGAUGUGUGUUAGCAAGCGGUAUAAAGAAGCAGAUGGUGACGGUGAGCAACCUUUACUCUUCGAUAGCCCAUUCUGCACUGCGGAGUCGAGGUUUGAGCUUAUUCCUACGACGGUCCAGCUCACUGUAUUGUCCGUUCGUGUUGUUGGAGGGGAGUUCCCUUUUAGCUCUGGGGGUCAGGUUGCUUGUAUUGUUUCUGGCCGUGAGAGGGUUGUGCUGUUUGAUUCUACUGAAAAAAUUACUAGAGAAGACCAAGUAGUUUUGGAUGGUUAUGUUCCUUUGUCAAGAAACGCCGUUUCAGUAGAGUUCGAAAAAGGAGUGACUGUUGAGGUAACAGCCUAUGCUGAUUCUGGUUCUAUCUCUGAUCGUGUCCACUUCCCUUCCAAGUGGUGCAACAUUAGUCAGGAUAGAUGUUUCAUCUGUGGUUCUGAGGUGGAGAUUACGGUUGCAUGGUCCCGGGUUGUGAGAGACAAGAUGGAGAUGUUGCUGGAGGGAUACGCCACCCAGGUGUAG
rnacentral:rRNA from 1 species